rnacentral:rRNA from 1 species
GACGAACGCUGGCGGCGUGCUUAACACAUGCAAGUCGAACGGAAAGGCCCUGCUUUUGUGGGGUGCUCGAGUGGCGAACGGGUGAGUAACACGUGAGUAACCUGCCCUUGACUGUGGGAUAACUUCAGGAAACUGGGGCUAAUACCGGAUAGGAGCUCCUGCUGCAUGGUGGGGGUUGGAAAGUUUCGGCGGUUGGGGAUGGACUCGCGGCUUAUCAGCUUGUUGGGGGGGUAGUGGCUUACCAAGGCUUUGACGGGUAGCCGGCCUGAGAGGGUGACCGGCCACAAUGCUACUGAGAGAGAGCCCAGACUCCUACGGGAGGCAGCAGUGGGGAAUAUUGCAGAAUGGGCGGACGCCUGAUGCAGCAACGCCGCGUGCGGGAUGACGGCCUUCGGGUUGUAAACCGCUUUCGCCUGUGACGAAGCGUGAGUGACGGUAAUGGGUAAAGAAGCACCGGCUAACUACGUG